GCAUCUAUAGCUCAGUGGUAGAGCGUCUGUCUCGUAAACAGAGGGUCUGCGGUUCAAUCCCGCAUGGAGGCA
rfam:Haemonchus placei strain MHpl1 genome assembly, scaffold: HPLM_scaffold0003278